UACGUAGGGUCCGAGCGUUGUCCGGAGUUACUGGGCGUAAAGGGCGCGCAGGCGGCGGCGCUGGCCCGGCGUGAAAGCCCCCGGCUCAACCGGGGAGGGUCGUCGGGGACCGCACCGCUUGAGGGCGGUAGGGGCAGGUGGAAUGCCUGGUGUAGUGGUGGAAUGCGUAGAUAUCGGGAGGAACACCAGUGGCGAAGGCGGCAUCCUGGCCCUGAACUGACGCUGAGGCGCGAUAGCGUGGGGAGCAAACGGG
rnacentral:rRNA from 1 species